GGUGGGAGCAGCGGAGGAGGCGCGGCGGGAGCCCCACAACGUCAGAGCGGGGAGGGCUCUCGGAGAUCGCCCCGGGCCGGCCUCCCUGCGCGCCGACGGGGAGACUGAGGCCGGGAGAGCCCAGGGACUGUCUCCGGAGACCUCGGCUUCGGAACUCAGCGCUUCUGGACUUUACCAGCCUCUGCAGAGGGCUGGGACCCGCAGGUGAAAGGACGGGCUCGCUACGCUUUUUAUUGUCCAGAGAGGCCUUAGGUUCUUCAGCUAUCACAUCAAGGAGGAAGAUUUGGUUGGCAAGAUUAGUACCCCAUGAAAAAGAAGACUGCAAAGUCUGCUCCAGUCUCUAAGAGCACUAGACAUUGUCUUUUGAUGAAAACAUUCAUAGAUCUUCAUUAAAGUUGUGUCACAAAUAAAAUGCAAAUUCAUAUACAGA